UACGGAGGGUGCAAGCGUUAUCCGGAAUUACUGGGCGUAAAGAGCUCGUAGGUGGUUUGUCGCGUUGUUCGUGAAAACUCACAGCUUAACUGUGAGCGUGCUUCCGAUACGGGCAGACUUGAGGUAUUCAGGGGAGAACGGAAUUCCUGGCGUAGCGGUGAAAUGCGCAGAUAUCAGGAGGAACACCGGUGGCGAAGGCGGUUCUCUGGGAAUAUCCUGACGCUGAGGAGCGAAAGUGUGGGGAGCGAACAGG
rnacentral:rRNA from 1 species